AGUGGCGGACGGGUGAGUAACGCGUGAGAAUCUGCCCUCAGGAGGGGGAUAACGGCUGGAAACGGCCGCUAAUACCCCAUAUGCCGAGAGGUGAAAUGAAUUUCGCCUGAGGAUGAGCUCGCGUCUGAUUAGCUAGUUGGUGUGGUAAAGGCUCACCAAGGCUUCGAUCAGUAGCUGGUCUGAGAGGAUGAUCAGCCACACUGGGACUGAGACACGGCCCAGACUCCUACGGGAGGCAGCAGUGGGGAAUUUUCCGCAAUGGGCGCAAGCUGACGGAGCAACGCCGCGUGAGGGAUGAAGGCCUCUGGGCUGUAAACCUCUUUUAUCAAGGAAGAAGAUCUGACGGUACUUGAUGAAUAAGCCACGGCUAAUUCC
rnacentral:rRNA from 1 species